AUUGAACGCUGGCGGCAGGCCUAACACAUGCAAGUCGAACGAGUGGCGGACGGGUGAGUAAUGUCUGGGAAACUUCCUGAUGGAUGGGGAUAACUACUGGAAACUGUAGCUAAUACCGCAUACCAUCAGAUGUGCCCAGAUGGGAUUAGCUAGUUGGUGGGGUAACGGCUCACCAAGGAGACGAUCCCUAGCUGGUCUGAGAGGAUGACCAGCCACACUGGAACUGAGAAACGGUCCAGACGCCUACGGGAGGCAGCAGUGGGGAAGAUUGCACAAUGGGCGCAAGCCGGAUGCAGCCAUGCCGCGUGUAUGAAGAAGGCCUUCGGGUGGUAAAGUACUUUCAGCGGGGAGGCGUUACCCGCAGAAGAAGCACCGGCUAACUCCGUGCCAGCAGCCGCGGUAAUAC
rnacentral:rRNA from 1 species